CAUGUACUCCCUCCGUCCCAAAAUAAGUGGCUUUGAUUUAGUAUAAAGUUGUACUAAAUCAAAGCCACUUAUUUUGGGACGGAGGGAGUAUAUG
rfam:Triticum urartu cultivar G1812 contig359426, whole genome shotgun sequence.